rnacentral:rRNA from 1 species
GGGGGUUUCGGAAUUUAAACUCAUCACCCUGUGACAUACCUAUAACGUUGCCUCGGCGGGAACAGACGGCCCCGUAACACGGGCCGCCCCCGCCAGAGGACCCCCUAACUCUGUUUCUAUAAUGUUUCUUCUGAGUAAACAAGCAAAUAAAUUAAAACUUUCAACAACGGAUCUCUUGGCUCUGGCAUCGAUGAAGAACGCAGCGAAAUGCGAUAAGUAAUGUGAAUUGCAGAAUUCAGUGAAUCAUCGAAUCUUUGAACGCACAUUGCGCCCGCCAGUAUUCUGGCGGGCAUGCCUGUUCGAGCGUCAUUACAACCCUCAGGCCCCCGGGCCUGGCGUUGGGGAUCGGCGGAAGCCCCCUGCGGGCACAACGCCGUCCCCCAAAUACAGUGGCGGUCCCGCCGCAGCUUCCAUUGCGUAGUAGCUAACACCUCGCAACUGGAGAGCGGCGCGGCCACGCCGUAAAACACCCAACUUCUGAAUGUUGACCUCGAAUCAGGUAGGAAUACCCGCUGAACUUAAGCAUAUCAAUAAGCGGAGGAA